rnacentral:rRNA from 1 species
GACGAACGCUGGCGGCGGGCUUAACACAUGCAAGUCGAACGGAAAGGCCCUGCAUCUGUGGGGUGCUCGAGUGGCGAACGGGUGAGUAACACGUGAGUAACCUGCCCGUGACUUUGGGAUAACUACAGGAAACUGGGGCGAAUACCGGAUAGGAGCUCCUGCUGCAUGGUGGGGGGUGGAAAGGUUCGGCGGUUGGGCAUGGACUCGCGGCUUAUCAGCUGGUUGGUGGGGUAGUGGCUUACCAAGGCUUUGACGGGUAGCCGGCCUGAGAGGGUGACCGGCCACCUUGGCACUGAGAUACGGGCCGGACUCGUACGGGAGGCAGCAGUGGGGAAUAUUGCCUGAUGGGGCGAAGCCUCAUGCAGCAACGCCGCGUUCUGGAUGACGGCCUUCGGUUUGUCAACCGCUUUCGCCUGUGACGAAGCGUGAGUGACGGUACUGGGUAAAGAAGCACCGGCUAACUACGUG